rnacentral:rRNA from 1 species
AGGAUGAACGCUGGCGGCGUGCCUAACACAUGCAAGUCGAACGUCCUGUCUCGCAAGAGGCAGGGAGUGGCGGACGGGUGAGUACCACGUGGGUCAUCUACCGUGAGGUGAGGAAUACCGGCGAGAAAUCGCCGACAAGACCGCAUAGCCUCGGUGCAAGUCGAGGAAAGCUCUCUCGAGAGAGGGAGCGCCACACGAGGAGCCUGCGCCCGAUUAGCUAGCUGGUGGAGUAAUGGUUCACCAGGGCGACGAUCGGUAGCUGGUCUGAGAGGACGAUCAGCCACACUGGGAUUGGGAACGGCCCAGACUCCUACGGGGGCAGCAGUGAGGAAUUUCGUCAAUGGGGCAACCUGAACGAGCAACGCCGCGUGCAGGAAGAAGGUUUUCGGAUCGUAAACUGCUUUCUCGGGAAGAGAACGGACGGUACCGAGGAAUCAGCCCGGCUAACUACGUGCCAGCAGCCGC